rnacentral:rRNA from 1 species
ACUCCCCAGGCGGAGUGCUUAUUGUGUUAACUGCGGCACAGAAGGGGUCGAUACCCUCUACACCUAGCACUCAUCGUUUACGGCGUGGACUACCAGGGUAUCUAAUCCUGUUUGCUCCCCACGCUUUCGCGCCUCAGCGUCAGUUACAGUCCAGAAAGUCGCCUUCGCCACUGGUGUUCCUCCACAUAUCUACGCAUUUCACCGCUACACGUGGAAUUCCACUUUCCUCUCCUGUCCUCGAGAUGCCCAGUUUCCGUUGCACUCUCAGGGUUGAGCCCUGAUCUUUCACACCGGACUUAAACAUCCGCCUACGCGCCCUUUACGCCCAAUAAUUCCGGACAACGCUUGCCCCCUACGUAUUACCGCGGCUGCUGGCACGUAGUUAGCCGGGGCUUCCUCCUUGGGUACCGUCAUGUCCCUUCAAUAUUCUCAAAGAGACCGUUCUUCCCCAAAGACAGUACUUUACAAUCCGAAGACCUUCAUCAUACACGCGGCGUUGCUCCGUCAGACUUUCGUC